rnacentral:lncRNA from 1 species
CUGCAUUUUUCAUUUUGUCAUUUCGUCGAACACAUGAUGCGCAUCUCCCUCUCCCUCCAUUUAUACCCCAUUCACUCAAUUCCCAAACCAAAACAGUCACACUAACACGAUCGGAUUCUAUCGACGGAAUCACACACGAGGGAGGAUGAUUAGUGAUGCAGUAAGGAAAUCUUGGGUGGUGGCCGCUACCAUCGGUUCGGUUGAGGCAUUGAAAGAUCAAGGUGUUGCACGGUGGAACAGACCUCUUACGAAAAUUUCUUAUUGUUUGUCGGCGGUGAUUACAACUAGUAAAUUCAGAGUGAAGAGAGGAAAAGAGGAAUCAAUGAAGAAAGCCAUGGAUAUGAGUUGCUUUGGUCCAAAUACUGUUAGAUUUUAGAAGCAUGCUCUGUAUUAUUUCCAUGGAUGUCGAUCCACAAGAUAAACAACACUAACACUAAUCCUGUAAGUGUUCAUAAGUUGUCUCCAUCCAUCAUCAAUACAUGAAUUUUGAAUCGAAUCGCGACACAAAUUCUUGCCGAAUUAACUUUUCUACUUCAAAAUCAAACAUACCAGUUGAUCUGUUGCAUCAACAGAUCAAACUAUUGAUCAUUUCAAAUGAAGUUUUGAAAUCUGAUUAUUGAUACGAAGAUUAAUCCACAUCCACAUAUUAUAUUCAUAUAUUAUCUUUACAUUGGGAGAACAAACAUCAAUACAUCAAAAGAAAAGGAACGAUUACGAUGCUAAGUAAUAAGUUGAUUGCCACGUACCUUGAGAAAGCCAUGUAAAUCAAAUGAAAAUCGGUGGAUAAUCUGUAGGUCGUGGCCGUCGCCGGGGUCAAAUAUGACGGUCGUCGCCGGCGGUCAAACAUGACGGACCGAUGAUUUUGUUGGUUAGAAGCGAUUGAGAAACGGAGGUUGAUUAUGGAGGCGACGACUGUGUGUGCCACUAGUAAAACAAAAAAGGGUUGCAGUUAAUAAUUUUACACAAAUCUUUCAUAAAUUGUCCUUAUCGUUUUCUAAAAUAUCAAUUUU